rnacentral:rRNA from 1 species
CCAUGCCGCGUGCAGGAUGACGGCCCUAUGGGUUGUAAACUGCUUUUAUACAGGAAGAAAAAACUCUACGUGUAGAGUCUUGACGGUACUGUAAGAAUAAGGAUCGGCUAACUCCGUGCCAGCAGCCGCGGUAAU